rnacentral:rRNA from 1 species
UACGGGGGGGGCAAGCGUUGUUCGGAAUUACUGGGCGUAAAGGGCUCGUAGGUGGCCAACUAAGUCAGACGUGAAAUCCCUCGGCUUAACCGGGGAACUGCGUCUGAUACUGGAUGGCUUGAGUUCGGGAGAGGGAUGCGGAAUUCCAGGUGUAGCGGUGAAAUGCGCAGAUAUCAGGAGGAACACCGAUGGCGAAGGCGGCAUCCUGGACCGGCAUGACGCUGAGGCGCGAAAGCCAGGGGAGCAAACGGG